rnacentral:sRNA from 1 species
GCUGGGUGCAGUGGCGCAUGCCUGUAAUCCCAGUGGCUUGGGAGGCUGAGGAAGGAGGAUCAUGAGCUCAAAUCCAGCCUUAGCAAUGGCAAGGCACUAAGCAACUGAGACCCUGUUUCUA